rnacentral:rRNA from 1 species
ACGAUGAGUAGAAGCGGCAAAAGCUCAAAUUUGAAACCCUCGGGAUUGUAAUUUGAAGAUUUGGCAUUGGAGAAAGCUAACCCAAGUUGCUUGGAAUAGUACGUCAUAGAGGGUGACAACCCCGUCUGGCUAACCGUUCUCCAUGUAUUGCCUUAUCAAAGAGUCGAGUUGUUUGGGAAUGCAGCUCAAAGUGGGUGGUAAACUCCAUCUAAAGCUAAAUACUGGUGAGAGACCGAUAGCGAACAAGUACUGUGAAGGAAAGGUGAAAAGAACUUUGAAAAGAGAGUGAAAUAGUAUGUGAAAUUGUUGAUAGGGAAGGAAAUGAGUGGAGAGUGGCCGAGGUUUCAGCCGCCCCUCGUGGGCGGUGUACUGCCGACGCCGAGUCAUCGAUAGCGAGACGAGGGUUACAAAUGGGAGCGCCUUCGGGCGUUCUCCCCUAACCCUCCACACUGC